rnacentral:rRNA from 1 species
UACGUAGGGUGCAAGCGUUAAUCGGAAUUACUGGGCGUAAAGGGCGCGUAGGCGGUCAGACCAAGUCGAGUGUGAAAUUCCAGGGCUUAACUCUGGCGCGCUCGCUCGAUACUGGUCGGCUAGAGUGUGGAAGAGGAUGCUGGAAUUCCCGGUGUAGCGGUGAAAUGCGUAGAUAUCAGGAAGAACACCCGUGGCGAAGGCGGCUCUCUGGGACGGUACUGACGCUGAGACGCGAAAGCGUGGGGAGCGAACAGG